rnacentral:sRNA from 1 species
AUCUUGGAAAAGAACUUUUCUUUUUUAUCCAAAGGAGCAGGACAAACUAAUGUACCUAACUUGGUCAAUACCAUGAUGGAGCUCAGGAAAUGUUGUAAUCAUCCAUAUCUUAUAAAAGGUGCUGAGGAGAAAAUACUUGGAGAAUUUAGAGAUACUUACAAUCCAGCUGCUUCUGAUUUUCAUCUUCAAGCAAUGAUCCAGUCUGCUGGUAAAUUGGUCCUUAUUGAUAAAUUGCUUCCCAAAAUGAAAGCCGGAGGUCAUAAAGUGCUCAUCUUCUCUCAAAUGGUUCGUUGCCUUGACAUUCUGGAGGACUAUCUCAUACAUAAAAGAUACUUAUAUGAGCGAAUUGAUGGCAGAGUCAGAGGAAAUCUUCGGCAAGCUGCUAUAGAUAGAUUUAGUAAACCUGAUUCAGAUAGAUUUGUUUUUCUCCUGUGUACCCGAGCUGGUGGGUUGGGCAUCAACUUAACUGCAGCUGAUACAUGUAUAAUUUUUGAUUCUGAUUGGAAUCCUCAAAAUGAUCUUCAGAUAUGAGGUCUCACUAUGUUGCCCAGGCUGGUCUUGAACCCCAGGACUCAAGCAUUCCUCCCAUCUUGGCCUCCAAAAGUGCUGGGUUUACAGGCACGCAUCAUCACGCCUGGCCUGAUAUUUUUAUAGUUUAAAGAAUAUUAUGUAAACUUGAGAGAGACCUAAGCUUUAAGAAUAAUUUAUUUGUAAUAAAAUUAAAAUUUCAGAAUUUUAAUCCUUAAAAAUAAGUACUCGCUUAUUCUGAUUUUAUCUUGUAAUCAUAAUAUAGUAUGCUUUUUUAAUAAAAUACUUUAGAAAAUGAAGG